GCUAUACACUUGAUCUCUGAACUUUCCAGGUAAGUUCUUGUGGACAUCGAAACCAUAUGCUGAUGCA
rnacentral:snoRNA from 1 species